ensembl:snRNA U6 U6 spliceosomal RNA
GUGCUUCAGCAGCACAUGUACUAAAAUUGGAGCCAUAGAGAGAUGAUUAGCACAGUCCCUCUGCAGGGAUGACAUGUACAUUUGGGAAGCAUUCCAUAUUUAA